CCUACGGGGGGCUGCAGUGGGGAAUUUUGGACAAUGGGCGCAAGCCUGAUCCAGCAAUGCCGCGUGCAGGACGAAGGCCUUCGGGUUGUAAACUGCUUUUGUACAGAACGAAAUGUCUCUGGUUAAUACCUGGGGAAGAUGACGGUACUGUAAGAAUAAGCACCGGCUAACUACGUGCCAGCAGCCGCGGUAAUACGUAGGGUGCAAGCGUUAAUCGGAAUUACUGGGCGUAAAGCGUGCGCAGGCGGUUUUGUAAGACAGAGGUGAAAUCCCCG
rnacentral:rRNA from 1 species